UGGGGAAUAUUGGGCAAUGGGGGGAACCCUGACCCAGCAACGCCGCGUGAAGGAAGAAGGUUUUCGGAUUGUAAACUUCUUUCCUUGGGGAAGAGGAAGAGACGGUAGCCAAGGAGGAAGCCCCGGCUAACUACGUGCCAGCAGCCGCGGUAAUACGUAGGUGGCAAGCGUUGUCCGGAUUUACUGGGUGUAAAGGGCGUGUAGGCGGGGAUGCAAGGCAGAUGUGAAAUGCCGGGGCUCAACCCCGGCGCUGCAUCUGAAACUGUAUCUCUUGAGUGCUGGAGAGGAAAGCGGAAUUCCUAGUGUAGCGGUGAAAUGCGUAGAUAUUAGGAGGAACACCAGUGGCGAAGGCGGCUUUCUGGACAGUAACUGACGCUGAGGCGCGAAAGCGUGGGGAGCGAACAGG
rnacentral:rRNA from 1 species